rnacentral:rRNA from 1 species
GAUGAACGCUGGCGGCGUGCCUAACACAUGCAAGUCGAGCGAAGCAAUGUUAAGGAAGUUUACGGAUGGAAUUAAGAUUGACUGAGCGGCGGACGGGUGAGUAACGCGUGGGUAACCUGCCUCAUACAGGGGGAUAACAGUUAGAAAUGACUGCUAAAACCGCAUAAGCGCACAGGACCGCAUGGUCAAGUGUGAAAAACUCCGGUGGUAUGAGAUGGACCCGCGUCUGAUUAGCUAGUUGGUGGGGUAACGGCCCACCAAGGCGACGAUCAGUAGCCGACCUGAGAGGGUGACCGGCCACAUUGGGACUGAGACACGGCCCAA